AUUAGUAGUUUCCAUCCUCUUCUUUUAUCCUAAUCAUAAUUAUUUGGCACAUCAGCCAUGAAACUACUUCUUCUGGCUCUGUUUCUGAGCAUAUCCGCAAGUUGCCUUGCAGAAGAUAUAACAAAAAUUUCUGAAAGUCGAAUUCCGAAUGAGGAUGCUGUACCUGAUUAUGAAGCAAAAUGGAGGCUCGGAGCAAUUCAAAAAUUAUGGAAUGAACGACGAAAGAUGGGACACACACCAAUGACAAAAUUCAGUCCCCCUGGUUUCCCGAACGCCGACAUUUUCUUCAAAAAUGAAACUGCCACAGCUACGAGAACGUUGAAGCACAGAUUUGCAUGGGCUCUUCUUCUUUGGGCUAUUACAGAAGGAAAAGUGACUUCAAAAACAUCCGCUGUCUACGACUCAACAUCUGGUAAUACUGGGUCUGCUGAAGCCUACAUGUGUACUUUAGUCAAUGUCCCAUACUAUGCUGUCGUUGCUGAUAAUUUGGAAAAGGAGAAAGUCAAGCAAAUUGAGAGUUUCGGAGGAAAAAUUAUCAAGGUUCCUGUGGCUCUUCGCAAUGCAAAAGCUAAGGAAUUCGCCGACAAAAACCACGGAUUCUACAUGAAUCAAUUUGGAAACGCUGAAAAAGCUGAAGAAUUCCAUGAAAGUGGAGACUUUUAUUUUGAGUCCACAAAUGUCUAUCAUGAAAUUAUUGUUCAACUCAAAAAGGACAAAGAGCAAAUUGUCAAAAUCCCUGACUACUUUGUUCAUUCAGCAGGAACCGGUGGAACUAUUUCGUCAGUUGGCAGAUAUGUCGCUAGAUAUGGAGCACCUACAAAAGUCGUACUCUCCGAUUCUCAAUACUCUUUAUUCUACGAUUAUGUAAUUGGACAUAAAUUCACAAAUCAAUCUGGUGCAGGUAUUUGGACACCUCCAGGGAUUGCUGGAAUUGGUUACGGAUAUGAUAUUGAACCAGUGUGGUACGGAGAAACAACAAGUUUAACAAGAAAUGUAAUCCAUGAAGCCAUGAAAAUGCCUGAUAUUGCAUCAGUAGCUACAAUGAGAAUUCUCGAUGAAAAAGGUUAUAAUGUGGGACCGUCAACAUCACUCAACUUCCUUGUUUCUCUUUACAAAGCCUAUCAGAACAAAGCCAGAAAAUCUGCUAUCAAGCAUCGUCUUACGAUUGUUACACUGGCUUGUGACCCAGGAGAUUUCUACCGUAGUACGUACCUUAACAACGAAUGGGUCGAGAAAAGUUUCAAGAAGUUUGGAGGUGUUAUGGGAAUGGAAUGUUGGAAAAAGCUGAUUCAAGAAUCAAUUGAUACGGGUUCUGAUUUCUAUUCGAAAGGUCUCACUAUGUGUCCAGGAGCUUUUAAAGUUUAA
rnacentral:misc_RNA from 1 species